rnacentral:rRNA from 1 species
GGGUAGCCAAGUACGGACGGGAUAAGCGCUGAAAGCAUCUAAGCGUGAAGCCCCCCUCAAGAUGAGAUUUCCCAAUUCGUAAGACCCCUUGAAGACGACGAGGUUGAUAGGUUCGGGGUGGAAGCACGGCAACGUGUGGAGCUGACGAAUACUAAUCGGUCGAGGGCUUAUCCUAAG